GGGCGUAAGCGUGCGUAGGCGGCUUCUUAAGUCUGAUGUGAAAUCCCCCAGCUUAACUUGGGAAUUGCAUUCGAUACUGGUUGGCUAGAGUGCGGGAGAGGAUGGUAGAAUUCCAUGUGUAGCGGUGAAAUGCGUAGAGAUCUGGAGGAAUACCGAUGGCGAAGGCAGCCUUCUGGCCUAUUACUGACGCUGAGGUACGAAAGCCUGGGGAGCAAACAGGAUUAGAUACCCUGGUAAUCCAUGCCGUAAACGAUGUCUGCUAGCCGUUGGGGCCCUUCACGCUUUAGUGG
rnacentral:rRNA from 1 species